AUACUUACCUGGCAGAGGUGAUUACAUGAUCAGGAAGGUGGUUUCUCCAGGGUGAGGCUCACCCAUUGCACUCCCAGUGUGCUGACCCCUGAGAUUUCCCCAAAUGUGGAAAACUCAACUGCGUAAUUUAUAAUAGUGGGGGACUGUGUUCACGCUCUCCCCUA